GAUGAACGCUGGCGGCGUGCCUAAUACAUGCAAGUCGAGCGAACAGACGAUGCGCUUGCUCCGCUGACGUUAGCGGCGGACGUGUGAGUCACGCGUGGAUAACGUACCUAUAAUACGGGGAUAACUUCGGGACACCGGAUCUAAUACCGGAUAAGAUAUUGAACCGCAUGGUUCAAUGGUGAAAGACGGUUGUUCGGGCUCUUAUAGCGGGAUCCGCGCCGGAUUAGCUAGUUGGUAAGGUAACGGCUUACCACGGCAACGAUGCGUAGCCGAACUGAGGGGCUGGUCGGCGACACUAGAACUGGAACACGGUCCAGAGUCCUACGGGAGGCAGCAGUCGGGAAUCUUCCGCAGUGGGCGAAAGCCUGACGGAGCAACGGCGCGUGAGUGAUGAAGGUGUUCGGAUCGUAAAACUCUGUUAUUAGGGAAGAACCAAUGUGUAAGUAAACAUGGACGUAUUGACGGUACCGAAUCAGAAAGCCCCGGCUAACUACGUG
rnacentral:rRNA from 1 species